UAACUACUUCCUCCGUCCCAAAAUAAGUGACUCAAAAAUUGACUCAAAUUUAUACUAAAGUUAGUGUAAAAUUGAGUCAUUUUGAGUCACUUAUUUUGGGACGGAGGGAGUACUUU
rfam:Hordeum vulgare subsp. vulgare, WGS project CAJW01000000 data, contig: morex_contig_92899